GAUGAACGCUAGCGGCAGGCCUAAUACAUGCAAGUCGAACGGUGUAGCAAUACACAGUGGCGCACGGGUGCGUAACACGUAUGCAACCUACCUAUCAUUGGGGGAUAGCCUUUGGAAACGGAGAUUAAUACCGCAUAAGACAGUAACAUGGCAUCAUGUAGCUGUUAAAGCUUCGGCGAUGAUAGAUGGGCAUGCGUCCAAUUAGUUAGUUGGUGAGGUAAUGGCUCACCAAGACGAUGAUUGGUAGGGGAUCUGAGAGGAUAAUCCCCCACACUGGCACUGAGACACGGCCCAGACUCCUACGGGAGGCAGCAGUGGGGAAUUUUGGACAAUGGGGGAAACCCUGAUCCAGCCAUGCCGCGUGUCUGAAGAAGGCCUUCGGGUUGUAAAGGACUUUUGUCCGGGAGCAAAUACGCAGUGCUAAUAACGCUGCGGGCUGAGAGUACCGGAAGAAUAAGCACCGGCUAACUACGUGCCAGCAGCCGCAGUAAGAC
rnacentral:rRNA from 1 species